UACGGCCACAUGACGUUGAAACAAUCAUUCCUGUACGACCACCAAAGGUAAGCAACGUUGAGCCUGGUCAAUACCUAGAUGGGUGAUCGCUUGGGAAUUUCGGGUGCUGUAAG